GAUAUAAGAAUUGUACAUUUAAAAAAUAAAAAACAUUAAAUCAUAUAUAUUUUUAAUCUACUAAACAAAUUAAAUGCCUGAAUGAGAGUCUAGUACAGUUUUAAAAAACAGUAAAUUUUGUACUCUUAUCGCUUGUGGUUUAUGCACAUGAACUGUUCGAUGAAAUGCCUGAAUGAGAGUCUACGGUUACAAAGAGUUGAGGUGAUGUUCUGUUAGCUGUUUGGAUCUUGUGAAUGCCUCCAGGGAGUUGAUAGAAGAGCCGCCAAGAUUGUUCCGAAUGGGAAUUGAACUUUGACGCUCCAGCGAACUCAUAUGAUUGUGAUGGUGUACGUGGACCUUUUGGGUUCUGCUGUGUUUGGUAUCUUGAGAUACUAACUGAAACAUAAUGGUAACACACUUAUGACCUUAACUUACUAUUCAUUUAUACUUGCUAACAUAACCAGUAAUUCAAAAAGUCCCCUAGACCGUAUGUUUUCUAAUGAUUGAUAACUAAUAUAUAAUUUAAGCGAAAUGAGUUUUUCCAUUACAUCAAACCUACACUAAUCGACUUACUCCAAUAUGUUCUUCAAAACCAUCAUAUGUUUCUUUUUGAUACCUUGGUUUCUGCUAGCUUUAAAAACUCAAGAUAUGUUCACUAAAUGAUGCAUAAGGGAGUGAUCUGUAAGUUUGUAACCAUAAGAUGUCUCACAUUUAGAUUUCUUUGAGAUGAGACCUCUUUAAAGCAUCACAAGUAAAGAAUUCCAUAACAGUGUUUAAAUAUCUAAACCGGUUUGCUUGAUUCUUGCAAAUACCAACUGUUAAUCCUAAAAGUUUUUCGUUUGGCCAUUGACAUUGUCAUUUCUUACAAAACACGAAUAUGUUUACACAGGGUGUUACAAUACGAAGAAGCCAAUGGUAGCGAAAGAUAGAAAGAUUUGUACGAUACAAGAGACAUAAAACACAUAGGAUGAUGAUCACCUCAGUGGAACUUGAGGCUGGUCAAGACGUUGUUGUUGACGGGAUCAGCCAAGUGAUCGAGCAGGUUCUGGUAAGGUCCCACACCGGUCACUAGUCCUUGGAUAAAGUAACCGAGGAUGGCGAGCAUAGCCAGUCUACCGUUCUUGACCUCCUUGAGUUUCAACUCCUUCAAGGACUUCUCAUCUUUCCCAA
rnacentral:lncRNA from 1 species